CCACAAGACAGCUCGCUGGAGACUCAUCUCCUCCCUCCCACUAAAUCAGGAGAGAGAAGGGGGUUUCCUCCCUGUGAGAGAAGGGGAAACAGAAAUGCAGAGAAGGCCGGGCGCGGUGGCUCAAGCCUGUAAUCCCAGCACUUUGGGAGGCCGAGACGGGCGGAUCACAAGGUCAGGAGAUCGAGACCAUCCUGGCUAACACAGUGAAACCCCGUCUCUACUAAAAAAUACAAAAAACUAGCCGGGCGAGGUGGCGGGCGCCUGUAGUCCCAGCUACUCGGGAGGCUGAGGCAGGAGAAUGGCGUGAACCCGGGAGGCGGAGCUUGCAGUGAGCUGAGAUCUGGCCACUGCACUCCAGCCCGGGCGACAGAGCGAGACUCCGUCUAAAAAAAAAAAAAAAAAAGAAAUGCAGAGAAGACAAGCCAUGUUUCAAAAGAAAUCCAGCUAAGUUAGCCCUACUGAGACAUGGACUGGAAGUACAAGACUCUGCCUAGGAGAUCUGGAGGCAAAAGCCAAGUUUCCUUGUACACCGUCCCCCUCUCUGAAGCUCCCACUGGACCUCCAGGGCGAUCAGGAACUUCUCGUUGGGCUAUCACACGGGCAAGCUGACCGGCCCUGUCCUUCCACUCAUGGCAGCCACAGUGAUCUGGUAAAAUGUAAGUCAG
rnacentral:lncRNA from 10 species